rnacentral:rRNA from 1 species
GUGAUCCUAUGUUGCCUAGAAAAGCUUCGUGAGCGAGUUGUUAGCCGCCCGUACCCUAAACCGACACAGGUGGAUAGGUAGAGAAUACCAAGGCGAUCGAGAGAAUCAUGGUGAAGGAACUCGGCAAAAUACCCCCGUAACUUCGGGAUAAGGGGGACCUGGCACGUUGAGCCACUUGCUGGUGAAAGCGUUGAGGGUCGCAGAGACCAGGCCCAAGCGACUGUUUACUAAAAACACAGGUCCGUGCCAACUUGAAAGAGGACGUAUACGGACUGACUCCUGCCCGGUGCUGGAAGGUUAAGGGGAACUGUUAGACGCAAGUCGAAGCGGUGAACUUAAGCCCCAGUAAACGGCGGUGGUAACUAUAACCAUCCUAAGGUAGCGAAAUUCCUUGUCGGGUAAGUUCCGACCUGCACGAAUGGAGUAACGACUUGGGCGCUGUCUCCACCAUGAACUCGGCGAAAUUGCAUUACGAGUAAAGAUGCUCGUUACGCGCAGUAGGACGGAAAGACCCCGGGACCUUUACUAUAGUUUGGUAUUGGUGUUCGGUACAGCUUGUGUAGGAUAGGUGGGAGACUUUGAAGCGGCCACGCCAGUGGUUGUGGAGUCAUCGUUGAAAUACCACUCUGGCUGUUCUGGAUAUCUAACCUAGGACCGUUAUCCGGUUCAGGGACAGUGCCUGAUGGGUAGUUUGACUGGGGCGGUCGCCUCCCAAAAGGUAACGGAGGCGCCCAAAGGUUCCCUCAGCCUGGUUGGCAAUCAGGUUUCGAGUGUAAGUGCACAAGGGAGCUUGACUGUGAGAGGGACACCUCGAGCAGGGACGAAAGUCGGGACUAGUGAUCUGACGGUGGCAUGUGGACGCGCCGUCACUCAACGGAUAAAAGGUACCCCGGGGAUAACAGGCUGAUCUUGCCCGAGCGCUCACAGCGACGGCAUGGUUUGGCACCUCGAUGUCGGCUCUCGCAUCCUGGGGCUGGGGUCGGUCCCAAGGGUUGGGCUGUUCGCCCAUUAAAGCGGCACGCGAGCUGGGUUUAGAACGUCGUGAGACAGUUCGGUCCCUAUCCACUGCGCGCGUAGGAAUCUUGAGAAGAGCUGUCCUUAGUACGAGAGGACCGGGACGGACUAACCUCUGGUGUGCCAGUUGUUCUGCCAGGGGCACGGCUGGUUGGCUACGUUGGGAAGUGAUAACCGCUGAAAGCAUCUAAGCGGGAAGCACGCUUCAAGAUGAGGGU